rnacentral:rRNA from 1 species
AUUGAACGCUGGCGGCGUGCUUAACACAUGCAAGUCGAUCGGUAACAGGUGUAGCAAUACAUGCUGACGAGAGGCGGACGGGUGAGUAAUGCUUGGGAAUCUGCCUAUUAGUGGGGGACAACCCGGGGAAACUCGGGCUAAUACCGCAUACGCUCUACGGAGGAAAGCCGGGGACCGCAAGGCCUGGCGCUAAUAGAUGAGCCCAAGUCGGAUUAGCUAGUUGGUAGGGAACGGCCUACCAAGGCGACAAUCCGUAGCUGGUCUGAGAGGACGACCAGCCACACCGGAACUGAGACACGGUCCGGACUCCUACGGGAGGCAGCAGUGGGGAAUAUUGGACAAUGGGGGCAACCCUGAUCCAGCGACGCCGCGUGGGUGAAGAAGGCCUGCGGGUUGUAAANCCCGUUUCGGUGGGGAAGAAAAGUCUCGACCUAAUACGUCGGGACCUUGACGUAACCCACUAAAGAAGCACCGGCUAACUCUGUGCCAGCCGCCGCAGUAAC